rnacentral:rRNA from 1 species
GACAGAGGUGCCGAGCGUUAGGCGGGAUCACUGGGCUUAAAGCGUGUGUAGGCGGAUCGUUAAGUACCUUGUGAAAUCCCACGGCUCAACCGUGGAACUGCUGGGUAUACUGGCGGUCUUGAGCCACCUAGGGGCGAGCGGAACAAGCGGUGGAGCGGUGAAAUGCGUAGAUAUCGCUUGGAACGCCAACGGUGAAAACAGCUCGCUGGGGGUGUGCUGACGCUGAGACACGAAAGCCAGGGGAGCGAACGGG